rnacentral:misc_RNA from 1 species
UCCGGCCAAAAGCCGGCAGUCUCGGCAGACACCUAUAACUGCCGAUAAGGGUUGCGCUCGUUGCGGGACUUAACCCAACAUCUCACGACACGAGCUGACGACAACCAUGCAGCACCUGUGUCACACCCUCGAAGGCGACCCCCUUUCAGGGGCUUGCAGUGACAUGUCAAGCCUGGGUAAGGUUCUUCGCGUUGCGUCGAAUUAAACCACACGCUCCGCUGCUUGUGCGGGCCCCCGUCAAUUCCUUUGAGUUUUAAGCUUGCGCUCGUACUCCCCAGGCGGCCGGCUUACCGCGUGAGCUUAGCCCCUCACCCGCCUUAACGGCAAGGCAAAGAACGAGCCGGCAUCGUUUACGGCGUGGACUAC